GGCGUAUUAAUCAGAGUGCAGAUGCACUAUCCAGAUAUCCAUCACCUGUAGUAUCCGAGGCUACAGAGGGACAAAGGGAAGAAGUAGAGGUUCCAUCCUUUAAACAGGUUGAAGUAAAUGUGGUCAGAGCAAUGUGUGUUGGCGUAAGCAACUCUAACCAGGAGGGUUUACAAAAUGUAACCUGUGGUGUGCCUCUGUUUCCUGAACGCACGCCAUCUCAGUGGUCUGCCUUGCAAGGGGAGGACUCAACGCUAAGAAGGGUGGCUCUGUUAUCUACAGAGGGGCCAUCAGCCAAAUAAGCGUGAGAGGCAACAGGAGUCUAAACCUGUUCUGUCUUCUGCGGCACUGGGAACGACUGUCACUAAAAGAUGGAGUGCUGUGUCGGACAUCACAUGAUACCAAGGAGGUCGAUCCAGUAGUUCAAAUUUUGGUUCCUGAGGGUGAGAAGUAUUCUAUAUGGCAACCGUACCAUGAAUAUGCAGGACACUGGGGCCCAGAAAAAACAAUAUCCCUCAUUAAAAGAAGAUAUUUCUGGCCCAAAUUAAAUGCUGAUGUUAUAAAUUGGUGUUCCCAAUGUAAGGCCUGUGUCCUGCGUAAAGCGGCUGCUGCGAAACAUGCUCCGUUGAUUCCCAUUAAGACAUCUGCACCCAUGGAACUGUUGUCUGUAGACUUUUUGUCUAUAGGUGUGUGACAGGUGAGACCUGGAGACUUGGGACCGCCCCUGGUGGGCGGAGCUGGUCUUCGCUCCUUUCAUAAGCGCAGGUGUGGGCAAUUGGGUAUUCCUUUGCAAACCUGAAGCUGCGAGUGCUUGGUCCGAGUUGGGCAAGUUGGUGUUUCUUAACUAUGAAAGUCUGAUACGCGUCCUCCCCUAAACUUCUGUUAGAACGGUGGGAAACAUUGCUCCCGUGAGAACGGUAUAGUGGACUUCAUCGCCACUGACCCACAUUUAUUAGGGUGUGACACGAACUUGUGGACAGAGUACCGAGCUGCUGCUUUGCCAGGUGGAUUUCUGGCUGCGGGCAAAGGACCCGACACAUCGGUGUGUUUUAAUUUGUUUUAAACUGGUGUAAGCCGACAGACUGACUGCUGCGGCUGUCGAUGGUUUUGUUUUUUUGUUUUACUUUUUUUCUGUAUCAGUAGGCAACACAGA